rnacentral:tRNA from 1 species
GCCCGGGUGGCGGAAUUGGCAGACGCGCACGUUUGAGGGGCGUGUGGUUUACACCAUACCGGUUCAAGUCCGGUCCCGGGCACCA